GAUGAACGCUGGCGGCGUGCCUAAUACAUGCAAGUCGAGCGAACAGACGAGGAGCUUGCUCCUCUGACGUUAGCGGCGGACGGGUGAGUAACACGUGGAUAACCUACCUAUAAGACUGGGAUAACUUCGGGAAACCGGAGCUAAUACCGGAUAAUAUAUUGAACCGCAUGGUUCAAUAGUGAAAGUCGGUUUUGCUGUCACUUAUAGAUGGAUCCGCGCCGCAUUAGCUAGUUGGUAAGGUAACGGCAUACCAAGGCAACGAUGCGUAGCCGACCUGAGAGGGAGAUCGGCCACACUGGAACUGAGACACGGUCCAGACUCCUACGGGAGGCAGCAGUAGGGAAUCUUCCGCAAUGGGCGAAAGCUUGACGGAGCAACGCCGCGUGAGUGAUGAAGGUCUUCGGAUCGUAAAACUCUGUUAUUAGGGAAGAACAAAUGUGUAAGUAACUAUGCACGUCUUGACGGUACCUAAUCAGAAAGCCACGGCUAACUACGUG
rnacentral:rRNA from 1 species